rnacentral:tRNA from 2 species
AGUAAGAUGGCUGAGGUUAGGCAAUAAACUGUAAAUUUAUUAACGAAAUAUUAAUUUCUCUUACUA